rnacentral:rRNA from 1 species
AAGCCAUGCAUGUCUAAGUAUAAGCUUUUAUACGGCGAAACUGCGAAUGGCUCAUUAAAACAGUUAUAGUUUAUUUGAUGGUCUUUACUACAUGGAUAACCGUGGUAAUUCUAUGGCUAAUACAUGCGCACAUACCUCUUCCCUCGUGGAAGGGUAGUGUUUAUUAGAUACAGAACCAACCCACCUUCGGGUGGUCCUCAGGUGAUUCAUAGUAACCGAACGGAUCGCAUUAUGGCCUUUUGGUCGGCGAUGGAUCAUUCAAGUUUCUGACCUAUCAGCUUUCGACGGUACUGUAUUGGACUACCGUGGCAGUGACGGGUAACGGGGAAUUAGGGUUCGAUUCCGGAGAGGGAGCCUGAGAAACGGCUACCACAUCUAAGGAAGGCAGCAGGCGCGCAAAUUACCCAAUCCUGACUCAGGGAGGUAGUGACAAGAAAUAACAACACUGGAAAUUAUAUUUCUAGUGAUUGGAAUG